GUGACGUACUUUGGAAAAGCCUUGCAGUUUGGAAACCAGUACAUCUACCAGGCCAUGCCUCGCAUGCUUUCUCUCUGGCUGGAUUUUGGAGCCAAAGUGUGCGAGUGUGAGAAAGCUGGCCGGUCGGACAGGCAGAUGCGACAGGAGCUGGGGAAAAUCAACGCUGUGGUGAGCGAGCACUGCG